CUUGUCUACUUCGAAUUUUAGUGAACCAACCAUCACUAGCUUUACAUUAAGCUCUUUUAGUUGAUGUUAACCAGGUGUGAAUGAUAUCACUUGUCUAAACAGGUGCUCCUGACACUUGCUAAUGUUUCCCUACGACUCCCAGCUAAACUUUUCCCACCUGUUGCCUUGUCACAACAAAAUACCUGUGGACUAUGCACAUUAAAGACCAAGCCUGCCUCUGGCAUUAACAGCACAGAAGACAGCAAGCUGAGCCCCUGAGGUGCCUCCAAGAUGCAGCUGCCAAUUUGCAGAAUUGUCUUGAUAGCUAUUGUGACGAAUAAUGGAAAACUAUGAAGAUACACCUGUGAUGCCAUCAGAAAGAAGACAAUGAGCACAAAGAGUCUCACGUACAUAAAGUACAUCAAGUGCAUCAAGUACAGCUUGGCAGAAUGAGCAGAAUUAAGUGAUACUAGGGCACAAACAGCCUUGACAUGCAUUCAAAGGGAAUAAUUGUACUUAGAUUGGUUUCUGAACAGUUCUCUGGAAUGAAAUGUUGAAUGAAAGUGUUGGGGUGUAACUGUAGUCUGUGGAUUAUUAAAUAAAGAUUGUCAAAGAGUUGUGUAGCA
rnacentral:lncRNA from 1 species